UAUGUGGUUUAAUUCGAUGCAACGCGAAGAACCUUACCUGGUCUUGACAUCCCGGAGACCCUUAGGAAACUAGGGGUGCCUCCAUCUGGAAGAAUCUGGAGACAGGUGCUGCAUGGCUGUCGUCAGCUCGUGUCGUGAGAUGUUGGGUUAAGUCCCGCAACGAGCGCAACCCUUGCCUUUAGUUGCCAGCAGUUCGGCUGGGCACUCUAAAGGGACUGCCGGUGUUAAACCGGAGGAAGGUGGGGAUGACGUCAAGUCCUCAUGGCCUUUAUGACCAGGGCUACACACGUACUACAAUGGCCGAUACAAAGGGCAGCGACACUGCGAGGUGAAGCCAAUCCCGUAAAAUCGGUCUCAGUCCGGAUUGGAGUCUGCAACUCGACUCCAUGAAGUUGGAAUCGCUAGUAAUCGUGGAUCAGCAUGCCACGGUGAAUACGUUCCCGGGCCUU
rnacentral:rRNA from 1 species